UGUUCUAGCCUGGCCUCAUGUAAAGAAGAUGUGUAGGCGCUCCAGACAAGCUGUAUCUACAAGUUAUCCCAGCCCAGGGGGCAGAUCUCUACAGGAGUCAUGCGUUCCUAAUGGAGUACCUAAUGAGAGUCCUUGGAUCAUCUUUUGGAGGAGAGCUGACCAACACACACUGACAGUAAUAUGAAAAAAGAUAAGAAUCAAUAUAUUUUGCAAGAGCUACAAAGGAUAAAAGCAAUGCGAUAUUUUAAACUUGUCUCAAAGGUCUGAAUUAAUUUUCAGGACACCAGAGGAUAGAGAACAAGUAAGAUUUUUCCACUGUUUUCUUUAUACUACUCAAUAAAGCAUUAAACAAUAUUUGGAUAUGAUCUACACUGCUUCUCAGCCCUCUUCUGGUAAGCUUUCUAUAUCAAAUGCCUGAGAAAUUUUGGAAUCCUCAAGAUGAAGAAGCAGGUAGAUGUGGAUUUGCCUGCAACCCAUUACCAAGCCUCAUGGGCUUGACAAGAUCAUGCUUCAAAGAGGGGGGGGGUUCUGUGUUCUUUCAUAACUUUCUCAGCGUUGUUAUGAAAUGCAUAGCUAUUACGAUAUCUGUGGCAGAGAAUGCUAAUGUUUCUCGUAUUUAUUUUACCAUUCUACCUUUUUUUAUGGAUUCUCUUCAGUCAAGUUGGCAGUGCAGCUAGACACAAUAUUUCUCAAGCUCUCCUUUACCCACGUGGCCAUGUUAUGUCCAAUGGGAUGUGAAUGACCAACCAGAGAAAGCCAAAUGUGCUUCCCUGGUUCACAUAGGAUGCCCAGCUUCUAGUGAGCCACCUCCAGCUUCCCCAGACCAACAUCUCCAAUCAGGGCACAACUGAUGCCUUCCCUUUAUUCCACUGUGAAGCUUUCCAACUUCUCUGCCUGCCUUUGAGUCUCCACCAAAACACAAGUGAUGGUACCUGACUCCCUUGCUAUAGCAAGCUCUGAAUAAAUAAAUAGUUGCUUGUUCUCAUUUGAUUGGUCUUAGUUUAUUUCUUUCUUUUUUUUUGUUUUGUGAGGAAGAUCAGCCCUGAGCUAACAUCCAUGCCAAUCCUCCUCUUUUUGCUGAGGAAGACCGGCUCUGAGCUAACAUCUAUUGCCAAUCCUCCUCCUUUUUUAUCCCCAAAGCCCAGCAGAUAGUUGUAUGUCAUAGUUGCACAUCCUUCUAUUUGCUGUAUGUGGGACGCGGCCUCAGCAUGGCC